UACGUAGGGGGCAAGCGUUGUCCGGAAUCAUUGGGCGUAAAGAGCGCGUAGGCGGCCCUGUAAGUCCGCUGUGAAAGUCAAGGGCUCAACCCUUGAAUGCCGGUGGAUACUGCAGGGCUAGAGUCCGGAAGAGGCGAGUGGAAUUCCUGGUGUAGCGGUGAAAUGCGCAGAUAUCAGGAGGAACACCGAUGGCGAAGGCAGCUCGCUGGGACGGUAGCUGACGCUGAGGCGCGAAAGCGUGGGGAGCGAACAGG
rnacentral:rRNA from 1 species